rnacentral:rRNA from 1 species
UACGUAGGGUGCGAGCGUUGUCCGGAAUUAUUGGGCGUAAAGAGCUCGUAGGCGGUGUGUCACGUCGGCCGUGAAAACCUGGGGCUUAACUCUGGGCGUGCGGUCGAUACGGGCAUCACUAGAGUUCGGCAGGGGAGACUGGAAUUCCUGGUGUAGCGGUGAAAUGUGCAGAUAUCAGGAGGAACACCGGUGGCGAAGGCGGGUCUCUGGGCCGAUACUGACGCUGAGGAGCGAAAGCAUGGGUAGCGAACAGG